UUAACGAAAUGUUGGAGAAGGGGCUCGUUCCCUCUGUGGUUACAUAUAACUUGAUGAUAAAUGGGUGGUGCAAGGCCAAUAGGACUGAAUUGGCACUUCUUUGUUUUUCUAAAAUGGAAGCUCAAGGGAGGCCUCCCAAUGUGAUCGCAUACACCACUUUGAUAGAUGGGUUCUGCAAUGAGGAGAGAGCUGAUGAUGCCACAGUGCUCUGGAAUAGAAUGAUAGAUCAGGGACGUACCCCUAAUAGAAUAGCUUACAUGGCCCUAGUCAAUGGAUUAUGUAAGUGUGGAAGAGCUAGUACAGCUUUACAGCACUUCCAUGAGAUGGAAGCCAAGGCUUUCGAUCCUGAUGCCUUUAUUUAUGUGGCAUUAAUAGAUUCUCUCGUUAGCAUAGCUGAUAUGUUCUCGGCUUUUAGGAUUUUGAGAGAAAUGGUUCGAAAAGGAACGUGUCGAAGUCCCUCUGAUAAGCAUUAUGGUUUGCUGCUAGAAUUAUUAUGCAAAAUGUACAAAGAAAGGCGUAUUUCUUCAGAUGUAAAUGCUCUUAUAGAAGAUGGUGGCACUCCAAUGAUCCAUAGUCCCUCUGAUCUUGGAGUGGGUAUUAGGAUUCAAUAAAAGUUUCCUUUGACAUUCUUGAAGAUGCUGGGAGGAGUCAAUGAAAUACAUUCAUGGCUACCUUUAUGUAUUCUGCCUGGUUAUACCAAACAUUUGUCAUGGAUUCCGCGAAGUUUCUCAUUUUCUCAAGCAUUUGAAAAGGAAAUCAUGGUGCAGCAUAGGGAAGGACAAUCCAUGUUGCUGCUUUCUGCUUGUCUACUUGAACAGGACAUAGACAUAUAUCCAUAUGGAGUUGAUAAAAGGGAUGAGAGUGGGUCUAUGUAGAAAAUGUUACAGAAAGAAGGUGCUUCCAUUCAAGGAACAGAUCAUUUCAAGAUUCCUGUAUCUGGUAACACAGGCAAUUAUAACUAGGACGUCGGACCAUUUGAAGUUUAGAAUCAAGAGGACAUGGUCCUUUGAUCAUUAAGACUCGAGUAUUCCACAUCGUCACCCUCAUUAUCACAAGGCACAUAACACUGAGAAGCAGUGCCUACAACCCCGAAGUAACAAAUUUCUCAUGCUGGACUCCUAAUCUCAUGUUACAAGAUGCAAUUAUCUUUUAGUCAUCUUUUUUGCAACUAUUGACCAAUAAAAAAUCAAGUGGAUUAUGUUCAUUAAGUAUGGAAUGUAACGAUCCACUGAGAGAUUGUAAGUCGAGAAGUUUAAAAAUAACGUAAUUAUACAUGUGUGACACAGGGCCAAAGAAUGACCCUGAAACUGUGUUAAGUAAGUUAAUUAUGUAUGGCAUAAUCGAGUUUAGUAAUGAGUUAUUGAAGGUUUGGAAA